CCUACGGGAGGCUGCAGUGAGGAAUAUUGGUCAAUGGACGAGAGUCUGAACCAGCCAAGUAGCGUGAAGGAUGACUGCCCUAUGGGUUGUAAACUUCUUUUAUAUGGGAAUAAAAUGUUCCACGUGUGGGAUUUUGUAUGUACCCUAUGAAUAAGGAUCGGCUAACUCCGUGCCAGCAGCCGCGGUAAUACGGAGGAUCCGAGCGUUAUCCGGAUUGAUUGGGUUUAAAGGGAGCGUAGGUGGGUUGUUAAGUCAGUUGUGAAAGUUUGCGGCUCAACCGUAAAAUUGCAGUUGAAACUGGCAGUCUUGAGUACGGUAGAGGUGGGCGGAAUUCGUGGUGUAGCGGUGAAAUGCUUAGAUAUCACGAAGAACUCCGAUUGCGAAGGCAGCUCACUGGACUGCAACUGACACUGAGGCUCGAAAGUGUGGGUAUCAAACAGGAUUAGAUACCCUUGUAGUC
rnacentral:rRNA from 1 species